UCAAGGCGGUUAACAGUCAGUCUCAUUAGUGUUGUUUAACGAUGGCUCAGCAGGCUGUCAAAUCACGUCACAGUCUGAAACAAAGCUGCCAGAUUCCAAUUAGCUGUUUUUUGUUUAAAAAAAAAAAAAAAAAAAACACAGACAGCUUUGAGUGGAAGAAAUACAGACAGACAUUUGGCACCGCAGCUUCAACGCCUUCCAUUCUCAAAAGAAAUUAGAAAAGCAGAUGAUGUUUGUGGAAAAACCGUCAGAAAUCUGAAGGGAGCGAAUCAAGGUUAAACAGGUGCGUUCUGAAUAAUUUUUUUUGCAAAACAACUGGCCUGCGGACCAAAAUCAUUAUUUUCACGCAUAGGACCUGAAACAUUUUUCUUCACACAGUCCAUUAUUGUCAAAAAUAAACACUCAAUAAAGCCGAUAAGGAACCAAAGCUUUGUGCAGCAGUAUGGACCAUCAAACAUCACAGAUUGUUCAGAGUCAAGGCCAUAAGUACUUGUAUUUGGUCAGCGAACUUUUUCAUUUCACGACUGUAGAGCUACCACACUUGAGCUGAAACAAUCAGGAUGUGCUUGAAGUGCAGUUCCUCAGGUUCAAGGGGAUUAACAAUAGUAUUGCAUUAACUAUUUAAGACUUACAGCUAUUUUUGCACUCGAUUCCUCCACUCGCAGAUCAUAAGUAAUUGGACAAUCUAAAUACAACCAUUAUUGUCCACAGACAAAUCAUCGCUUUUACAGCCAGUUUUAUUGAGACAAGUAAGGUGAUGGACACAUGAACACGUCUUUGACUGAAUUUACAUCAAUCAUGACGAAAUACAAACAGUACUGUCAACAUAUCUGGAGUAGGAUGUUCUCGAUAACUGUGUGGAAAAAGAAACUGCGGCUUCCACGACAGACAAAAACUGCCCGAUGCAGUUUCUUCAAUCCCAGCCACAGACGCCUGUUAACUCCUUCAGAGUAGUGAAGCAGAUAUUUGAAAUGACUGU